rnacentral:rRNA from 11 species
CAGUUUGAGAAACAUUGCUCUGGUACCAGAUACUGUCUGAUCUUGGAAGCUAAGCAGGAUCAACCCUGGUUAGUGCUUGGAUGGGAAACUACAAGUGAAUACCAAGGGAUGUAGGCUGC